UUCUAUAUUUACUUCCUUCACAUGGACAUUUAAUCACUUUUUAUUAUAUAUAUAUAUAUGUUUGUAUAUGGUUGUUAUAGAAAGACUUGUGUCGCUGUAACAAUGAUGAUACGUAGGUUACAGAACAAUGGGAGGGUAGUACUCAGCAGUGAAUAUCACAAGUUUUGUGUACUCAGCAGUGAAUAUCACAAGGUUUGUGUACUCAGCAGUGAAUAUCACAAGGUUUGUGUACUCAGCAGUGAAUAUCACAAGGUUUGUGUACUCAGCAGUGAAUAUCACAAGGUUUGUGUACUCAGCAGUGAAUAUCACAAGGUUUGUGUACUCAGCAGUGAAUAUCACAAGGUUUGUGUACUCAGCAGUGAAUAUCACAAGGUUUGUGUACUCAGCAGUGAAUAUCACAAGGUUUGUGUACUCAGCAGUGAAUAUCACAAGGUUUGUGUACUCAGCAGUGAAUAUCACAAGGUUUGUGUACUCAGCAGUGAAUAUCACAAGGUUUGUGUACUCAGCAGUGAAUAUCACAAGGUUUGUGUACUCAGCAGUGAAUAUCACAAGGUUUGUGUACUCAGCAAAAUUAAUGUGUUAAUGAGUUAUAAACACUUAAUGUCAAUUCACAGAAGGAAUUGAAAUUAUUUGCAAUAUGAAUGUUCAUACCUACCAAUCUCUAGUUGAAAUGUUAAAUACUUUAAGUGACUAGUAGGGAUACAAUCUGUGUUACAUUGUUCUCACGAUAUUAAAUGUUGAUACAUUCCAUAUCAUAUUGACUACAGUCUAAAGGAAGGGCGAGGUCAUAUCAAAAUGGGAGGGAGGACAACAGGAGGGUCAGGGGGGGGGGGGGACAUUAUUAGGAAAGAGAGAGAGAGUGUCACAGUAGUAAGAAAAGGGAUUGAAGGAAAUAGAAAGUGAAAGAAAUAAAAUGGGAGGAGGAGAAAAGGGAAGGGGAAAGGGGACAGCGAGGGGUAGAGAAGGAGAGAGGGAGGAAGAAAUGGUGUGAGGAGUAUGUGAGAAGAGGCCGGAGAGAGGUAUGGAAGGGAGGUAGAGGGGCUUUUUCUGGAGUGUCAGAGAUCCAAUUACAUGACUAUGAUCAUGUGCUCCCUUACAGGAUAAUUUGUGCUUGAAAAAGUCCGACAGAAUCACCUCAAUGUUUAUGUUGUGUUUUAAGUAAAAUACGUGGCAAUAGUAAGUGCCAUAUGAUAUGCAUAAUGUGAUAUUUGUAAAUAUUUCUAUACUACUGUCAUUCAGACAUCCUGUACUACAUACUGUCCACACACCCUCUAUAGACUACUGUCAUUCAGACAUCCUGUACUACAUACUGUCCACACACCCUCUAUAGACUACAGUCAUUCAGACGGUGUCAUUGAGUGACCGUCCUCGUACUGAAAUCAUUGCCACUUCCUAUUUUGGUAAUGUCUCAUCUAAAAGCAAAAUACUCACUCCUGAGAUUAAGGGAAAUGUGGAGAUUUAUUUAAGGAUUGGUUGUCAUAUUUUUGACAAGCAUUGGUGUGUAACACACAUUGGCUUACCUCCAUAUUGAAUGGUGCGCGCUAGAGUCAUGAGAAUAGGCUGAUAGUCACAGGUCAAAUAUGUCCAGAAAUCAAAACUACUCCUUCUGAGAUUUUGAAAUGAAUCAUGAGCUUCAUUGAUUUUCAGAAGCGUCAAAUCUGUUAAAAUCUGGUAGCAGUAUUUUUGAGCCUGUAGAUUUAUUUUUAUUUGACUUUUGUCUACUUUUAAGGUUACAAGUAAUUAAUUAAAAGUUUAUUAAUAGCAUAUGUGCAAUGCAGGCCUAUUGAGCCUCUUGUUAUUCCUUUUUUCGCCAUUUGGUUAUGUUGAUUUGAAAGUUAAUGACUAAUGGAUCUAAGUUUUUAUUUAUCCAAGAUUCAGUGUGUACAAUACAUGAUCUGAAUGUUAUAUUAAUCAGAUCUGGUAGGAAGUAGAAGAUUCUGAGACACAAUGGUGUACAUUAAGUGUUGUUAGAAACACAUGAUACUGUUUAUAUUUGUAAGUUUAUAAGUUGAUGCUAUACCCAUGUAUUGUAGAUACCUUGAUGUAUAUCUGGUACAAUGUAACAGCAGUGAAGACAGUUUUAUCAUGAGUCCUGGAGAGAUUUCUGUUUGUAUUAGAUCUGGGUUAGAUGUGUGAUAUUAGGCAAUACUUUGUAACAUAUUUCAGUCUGGUAUUUGUUGUUGGUUCUAAUAUAAAUGUCCAACUUAUCCAUACUUGAUGUUCAUUGUAGGAAAGUAAAACAAAGUAUAGACUAUAUCUCUUUUGAUACUGUAAGUAUACAUAUAUAUUUGGUGAACAAAUGUCAGUUUAAACAAAAUAUCUUCAUACAUAUCGUAAAAACAUUCUCCAGUUCAUUAAGAAACACGAACCGCAGGUGAGAAAGGUUGACCCAGCUAUUAUCAUCUUGGAUAUUGGCAGUGGACAGUGUACAUGCUGUAAGCGUGUGUUGUGAGAAGAUGGUACCAGUGUAGGGCUGUAGUCGGACUAUUGUACGAUUAUUUGACAAGUAUAAUGGUACAGGAAGUUUUGCAUUGUAAAAUUCCCACUUUCAUCAGAUAACAAUGGCAGCCUUGAUUCAGUUUGUCUUUAAGACGUUUCGUGACCUAAGCAACAUAACCCGGUUCUUAGUUAUUAGUUAAUGUCAAAAAGCUAUUAAGAAAGCAAAAUAGUGAAAACAUGGAAAAAAAUACUAAUGUUUUGUGCAUUCUUUCAUCUUUUUUGUUUAAAACAUCUUAAUUAAAAAAAAAAAAAAAAUCAUUUACUUUAAAAGUGUUAUAUAAA